GACGGAGGGUGCAAGCGAUAUCCGGAAUUACUGGGUUUAAAGGGUGCGUAGGCGGCUUGAUAAGUCAGAGGUGAAAGCCUAUCGCUUAACGAUAGAAUUGCCUUUGAUACUGUAAAGCUUGAAAGGGGUUGAGGUCAGCAGAAUGUGGCAUGUAGCGGUGAAAUGCAUAGAUAUGCCAGAGAACACCGAUUGCGAAGGCAGCUGGCUGGGACUACUUUGACGCUGAGGCACGAAAGAGUGGGGAGCGAACAGG
rnacentral:rRNA from 1 species